rnacentral:snoRNA from 1 species
UUGGUAGUGGUGAUGAACAAUUUUUAUUUGGACUAGAGUUUCUGAUACUGCUACUUCGUGGUAGUUGAAGACCAAACCCUUGGCUGUCUGAGCUUCCAG